AUUAUACAGCGAAACUGCGAAUGGCUCAUUAUAUAAGUUAUCGUUUAUUUGAUAGUACCUUACUACUUGGAUAACCGUGGUAAUUCUAGAGCUAAUACAUGCUAAAAAUCCCGACUUCGGAAGGGAUGUAUUUAUUAGAUUAAAAACCAAUGCCCUCUGGGCUCCUUGGUGAUUCAUAAUAACUUUUCGAAUCGCAUGGCCUUGCGCCGGCGAUGGUUCAUUCAAAUUUCUUCCCUAUCAACUUUCGAUGUUUGGGUAUUGGCCAAACAUGGUCGCAACGGGUAACGGAGGGUUAGGGCUCGACCCCGGAGAAGGAGCCUGAGAAACGGCUACUACAUCCAAGGAAGGCAGCAGGCGCGCAAAUUACCCAAUCCCGAUUCGGGGAGGUAGUGACAAUAAAUACUGAUACAGGGCUCUUUUGGGUCUUGUAAUUGGAAUGAGUACAAUUUAAAUCCCUUAACGAGGAACAAUUGGAGGGCAAGUCUGGUGCCAGCAGCCGCGGUAAUUCCAGCUCCAAUAGCGUAUAUUAAAGUUGUUGUGGUUAAAAAGCUCGUAGUUGAACCUUGGGCCUGGCUGGCCGGUCCGCCUCACCGCGUGUACUGGUCCGGCCGGGCCUUUCCCUCUGUGGAACCUCAUGCCCUUCACUGGGUGUGGCGGGGAAACAGGACUUUUACUUUGAAAAAAUUAGAGUGCUCCAGGCAGGCCUAUGCUCGAAUACAUUAGCAUGGAAUAAUGAAAUAGGACGUGUGGUUCUAUUUUGUUGGUUUCUAGGACCGCCGUAAUGAUUAAUAGGGACAGUCGGGGGCAUCAGUAUUCAAUUGUCAGAGGUGAAAUUCUUGGAUUUAUUGAAGACUAACUACUGCGAAAGCAUUUGCCAAGGAUGUUUUCAUUAAUCAGGAACGAAAGUUAGGGGAUCGAAGACGAUCAGAUACCGUCGUAGUCUUAACCAUAAACUAUGCCGACUAGGGAUCGGACGAUGUUAUUUUUUGACGCGUUCGGCACCUUACGAGAAAUCAAAGUGCUUGGGCUCCAGGGGGAGUAUGGUCGCA
rnacentral:rRNA from 1 species